rnacentral:tRNA from 1 species
GAGGGUAUAGCUUAGUGGUAGAGUGUGUACUUAGCAUGCACGAGGUCCUGGAUUCAAUCCCCAGUACCUCCA